GGAGCACUUUGAGCUUUGAGAGGAGCAGCCCUCUGCAAGUGAAGUGGAAAAAAAGGAAGCAGCCCCUGGCUUUCCAAGAGUCCCUGCCCACCCAGAUGCCCGCUGGCAGAUGCAGCCUCAUCUCAAGGACACUGCUUGCUGGAUAAAUCCCUCACCACCCUAGAGACAGCCCACGGUCCUGAGACAAGGAUGCGGGCCAGGCUUGUUGCACGUAAGCGCCUCCCGCAGAAACCAGUGAGGCCGGAGUUCCAGAGGAAAUGAUGUAGGGACAGAGGCAGAGGGCCUCCAGGAGGCACCAGCCCCAGAGUCUUCCCUAGAAUCAGACUUUAAGCACAAGCAGGGAGGGAAAGCACUUGAGCAGUGCCCGUCCCUGCAUACCUGGCCUCUGCUGGAACCCAUGCAGGGACAGGACACUUCUUUAUCAGCAAUCCUGUUCCUCUCCUGGGCAGCUUCAACCUGAACAUCCUCCUUCACCUUGAGCUAAAAUGGGUUUCUUGUCACCCUUGCCCAUCAAACCUGGCCUUGCCCUCAGGAACCACACAGGACAAGCCUAAUACUUCCUUCUUGUGGCAACACUUUAGCAAUUGAGACCUGGCUGUCAGGUCCUCCAAAUAAACAUUUG
rnacentral:lncRNA from 10 species